GACAAAGAUUUUCAGCUUUAAGAUGCGCAGUACGAGCGCAGAGGAUAUCCAGCGCGGAGCUCCUGUGCGCCUCUGGAGAGAUGCGCGCUGCUUCUCACACAGACGAACGCAUGCAGACGCACCGUGACAUAACACGUCCGUGCACACGGUCGGAGGUGUUUGAAAGGUAAAAACAGGAAGAGCAAGGAUGGUGAAGAGGAGAAGUUCAGAGGGAGCUGAUGCCACAUCUGGUCCAGCCAAUGGAAGGUCUUGAAGUUCUCUGACUGAAGAGGUCCUCUGACUGGAUUUAAGAUUCAGAUGCUCAGGAACAAACUGCACCAAUGAGCCAACAGGGAAGCUUUAGGUUUAUUAAAUGUUACUAUGAAGGUAUCGCUGUUUUUCUUUGUGAAUGCAAAGUGCUCCAACUGAAACUUGAACUAGAACUUAGAAGUAAAUCCUUCCAUCUGACAUGAUUUAUUUGCAUUAAUAACCUCAUAACGUUCUAAUUUUUAUUCCAGUCUUGGUUGGAAAUAGAAUCUCUGUAUUGAUUCAGGUAAAAACUGAACUUCACAGCAUGUUGGAGCAAAACAACCAGAUGAAAAGUGUGAUGGUGUUGGAUUGUCAGACCACAAUGUUGCAGCUCAAAGCAGCUUUUCUAUCUCAUUUCAUUCUGACAUUCAGCUCUGAAUCAACAGCAGAUCCAGCUGAUGGUGAUCCAUGCUGUGCAAGUCUCACAUCUCCUCAUUUAGUUACACUGUUUAUUCACCAACACUUUAUUUAAUAAAAGUCCCAUCUAGUUUUUAGGAGGAAUGUGAUGUUUUAAUUUCUCUGUGAAUAACUGCAGUCUAAUGGAACAGCUGGAGUUGUAGCAUCUGUCCUGAUAUUGAUCAUGAAGUGUUGAUCAGAAUACUUCUGGUCAGCAGUCAUCCCUGAAGUUUUACUUUAAAAUCUUUCCUUGUGUUGUGAACUUGGGUAAGAAGGAGAAAUUUUAGCGUUGCCAUGGAUACAUGAGUGCUAAAUUCUGUCCAUGUUUCAUUAUGGGAUGCAUUCCAACAGAUGAGUUUGUUUUUACAGACAGCUAGCAUUCAGUCUUAGAUAUUAAGAAUAAAUAAAUGUGCAUAAUGUGGACAUGAACAGAUUUUAUUUUUAUUUAUUCCUACAGCUGCUGCAGGUAAAGUUCCAGAAUGUGGAGGAAUUUAGUCUCACAAUCACAGACACUAAAUGUUAUCUGAAAGUUGGGUUAUUGUUGUUUAUCAGCACAAUACAAAAAUAGUCAUGUUGGACAUAUUCCAGUGAAGACUCUAGAAUAUCAUGAUUUAUGUAAAUUUACCUCAAUAAUAUGAAUGUUCAGGUUAAGAUUGUGCAAUGAUAUUUAUUAUGCAAGUUUAGCUGAUUAAAGUUUAUGACUCUGCACUACAAUAUUUAUUAUUUAAAUUGACAUUAUUAUAAUAUUUAGGGUCAGACUCUACUGUAUUGAGAUUAAGAAAUCAAAUAUUCUAUAAAAUGUAAAUACACUGGACUAAUUUGGAUAUAUUUAAGUAAGACUCAACAAUAUUAUUUGACACAAACCUAUUGAAAUCAAAAUUUUAAUAAUUUUUACUCCAAACAUUUAGUGGACUGAUUUAAAUAUUAAAAUCACUCCUUUCUAAUCCUCUGCUGCACGUUCAAACCUGGGGCCUUAAAUAGAAACGCACAAGUAUCCGUUUGAAGGAACUUCUGCAGAGUCCUGGUUCCAGAAAAUGAUGAUAGAAUUAUAGGCAAACUUCAGACAAACAAAGGUUUUUAUGUUCGAUUUCUUCAACAAUUUAAUGAGAGUUAAAAGCAAAAAUCAAGUGUUCGUUUGAUGAACUUCAUUUCCUAAAACAUCCAGAAUUGGAGCUCAUGUCUUUGGCAGCUGUAAAGUUUCUGCUCCUUCAAAGUUCACAACACAAUGAAUGAAUUCCUGAAACACUCAGUGCUGGAGAGCGUUUGUGAUGCUGAAGUAGUGACCAGUUUUUCUGUUUCUUCUCUGGAGAUGCACAAUGAGGGACGUCUGCAGCAACUGAGAAAGAGUCUCACCACAUCCUGACAUGAGGAAAAAGACUUUAUUUACGACAAUGAGAAAAACUAUCAGACAGCAGAUGGCAUGCAUUCAAGGUAAGAUCUGAACAUUUGAUCUGGAACAGGAAUUCAGUAACGGCAGCAUGAGCUUCAUUUUAGUCUGUAGCUGCUCAUUUCAUGGAUGAAUCAUCUGGCAUGAGAGAGGAAGACCAUCAAACAUCCUGCAGGAGGAGUCCUACGAGGAUGCACUGGUCCACCUGAUGGCGGCCAGUCACUGCGGUUCAAAGCCAACACCGACUACGUGGACUUCUACUGACUAAGUGACGAAAGAGGCGCGAAGAUUCUGACAGAAACAACCGGAAACAACCAUAGAAACAAGGAUAGACAAGAAGAUGGCUGCGCACAAUAAACAGUUAUCUUUCGACUCAGCUUUGGCCACAGCCCUUAAAGAUUUGAAGCUAAAAUUCAACUUGAAAGACAAACAAAGGAUAAGAUAAUAAGGCUUCACCGAACUCCCGCAUCCUCUGAUUUCCAGCGUUCUGGGAACUCCGUCAGCCUAUUCGUUGCACUGAUUGGUUGUAUACCUACCCAAUUGCUGCAGAGUGAUUUGAAAGACAACCUUUGACAACCUCCCUCCCUGUUGAGCGUUCCUAGACCCUUGUGUCUUCAGACCUGGGUCUAGUGCGGCUAGGCUACCCUUUUAUUGCUUUCAUAAAUCAA